CAGUCGCCGCGGUAAUACGUAGGUGGCAAGCGUUGUCCGGAAUUAUUGGGCGUAAAGGGCUCGCAGGCGGUUUCUUAAGUCUGAUGUGAAAGCCCCCGGCUCAACCGGGGAGGGUCAUUGGAAACUGGGAAACUUGAGUGCAGAAGAGGAGAGUGGAAUUCCACGUGUAGCGGUGAAAUGCGUAGAGAUGUGGAGGAACACCAGUGGCGAAGGCGACUCUCUGGUCUGUAACUGACGCUGAGGCUCGAAAGCGUGGGGAGCAAACAGGAUUAGAUACCCCGGUAGUCCUGUCUCUUAUACC
rnacentral:rRNA from 1 species